rnacentral:rRNA from 1 species
CGCGCCCGCUGGCGGCAGGCUUAACACAUGCAAGUCGAGCGGGCAUCCUUGUGGUGUCAGCGGCAGACGGGUGAGUAACGCGUGGGAACGUGCCCUUCGGUUCGGAAUAACUCAGGGAAACUUGAGCUAAUACCGGAUACGUGCGAGAGCAGAAAGGUUUAUCUGCCGAAGGAUCGGCCCGCGUCUGAUUAGCUAGUUGGUGAGGUUAUGGCUCACCAAGGCGACGAUCAGUAGCUGGUCUGAGAGGAUGAUCAGCCACACUGGGACUGAGACACGGCCCAGACUCGUACGGGAGGCAGCAGUGGGGAAUAUUGGACGAUGGGGGCAACCCUGAUACAGCCAUGCCGCGUGAGUGAUGACGGCCUUAGGGUUGUAAAGCUCUUUUCUGCGGGACGAUAAUGACGGUACCGGAGGAAUAAGCCCCGGCUAACUUCGUG